rnacentral:rRNA from 1 species
AACACAUGCAAGUCGCACGAGAAAGUUCGACCUUCGGGUGAAGUCAGUAAAGUGGACGCACGGGUGAGUAACGCGUGGAUAAUCUGCCUUCAAGUAGGGAAUAACAAUUGCGAAAGCGAUGCUAAUACCGUAUAAGCUCACGAUUUGAUAGGUUGUGAGAAAAGAUGGCCUAGUCUAUGCUAUCGCUUGAAGAUGAGUCCGCGUACCAUUAGCUUGUUGGUAGGGUAAUGGCCUACCAAGGCUUCGAUGGUUAGCUGGCCUGAGAGGGCGGCCAGCCACACUGGAACUGAGACACGGUCCAGACUCCUACGGGAGGCAGCAGUGGGGAAUAUUGCGCAAUGGGGGAAACCCUGACGCAGCGACGCCGUGUGAGUGAUGAAGGUUUUCGGAUCGUAAAGCUCUGUCAGGUGGGAAGAAUAAAGGCUGUGUAAAUAAUGCAGUCUGAUGACGGUACCACCAGAGGAAGCACCGGCUAACUCCGUG